rnacentral:rRNA from 1 species
UACGUAGGGGGCAAGCGUUAUCCGGAUUUACUGGGUGUAAAGGGAGCGUAGACGGCAUGGCAAGUCUGAUGUGAAAACCCGGGGCUCAACCCCGUCGAGCCGUUUGAACUGGCGCGCUUGAGUUCAGGCGAGGUAGGCGGAAUUCGUGGUGUAGCGGUGAAAUGCAUAGAUAUCACGAAGAACUCCGAUUGCGAAGGCAGCUUACCAGUCUGCGACUGACGCUCAGGCACGAAAGUGUGGGUAUCGAACAGG